CCUACGGGUGGCAGCAGUAGGGAAUCUUCCACAAUGGGCGAAAGCCUGAUGGAGCAACGCCGCGUGGGUGAAGAAGGUCUUCGGAUCGUAAAACCCUGUUGUUAGAGAAGAAAGUGCGUGAGAGUAACUGUUCACGUUUCGACGGUAUCUAACCAGAAAGCCACGGCUAACUACGUGCCAGCAGCCGCGUUAAUACGUAGGUGGCAAGCUUUAUCCGGAUUGAUUGGGCGUAAAGGGAACGCCGGCGGUCUUUUACGGCUGAUGUGAAAGCCUUCGGCUUAACCGGAGUAGUGCAUGGGAAACUGGGAGACUUGAUUGCAGAAGAGGAGAGUGGAACUCCAUGUGUAGCGGUGAAAUGCGUAGAUAUAUGGAAGAACACCAGUGGCGAAAGCGGCUCUCUGGUCUGUAACUGACGCUGAGGUUCGAACGCGUGGGUAGCAAACAGGAUUAGAUACCCGAGUAGUC
rnacentral:rRNA from 1 species